CCACCGUUAUUGGUGUCAACGAUAGAUAGGAUCUUAUCAUAAGCAGACCUCUGCUCCUCGUUUAGGGUUUCUUUCAGAGCAACGUCUUCUGUCGUUGGCACUAUACUUUCCUCCUCAUAAAUCUCUCUAUCAGUACCAUGUAAAUCGUCAUAUCUAUCAAUGAUAGCAGGGAGAGGGAAUGUCUUUAUGUCUUUACCCAUUGACUGCAAAAUGUUUCUAAUGUCAAUCAAGACCAUCUGCUACACAUGGAUUUUGCUUUGAGUACUACGGUGAUAGUCCUCUGACAUUGAGUCAAGGUGUCUCUGCCAUAAUUCUGCCACAUCGUUCGGCUCGCAGUAUACCAGUAUUGUUGCAAACAACCUUCGUAGUGCUGACGGCAUUUGGUAAAUAGCGGCUUCGUUGAGACACUCAUCUAUUGUGUCGUCUGCUUCAAGCAGUCCCCUCCUUUGUGCCACCUCACGAAAAGUUGGUAGUGUGUCACCAUCUACUGUCCUUAGAUCCGCAUAGGAGGUUGCACCCGUCACAUGGUUUAAGAGAAGUCGAAGAUAAAAGCGCUCCCCCUUAGCUGGAUAAGCAGAGACUAUUCUACCAACCUGUCCACCCGUGUUUCGUUUCCUCCUUGCCACACCUUGCCCUGCUGCAAAGUGUACCACUCAGGAAAAUCACGGUAAAGGAUGCCCCGAGCCUCUUCGUGUAGCCUAUUUGCCUCAAAAUAUGCCGUAAGCAUUGACCUAUCGACACCUAGACGUUGGACAACAUGAUUUACUUUAGCACGCUCGUGAAAUGACACCAUAUGCAUGUUUUCAAGAUGGAGCUGCAGUUGCAUCACUGGUGGAGAGUUUUGACUUAGAUCAAAGCUGAAUAUCCUCCAAAGGGCUUCUAGAGGGGUCACCCACCUAGCAUCUCUAUACUGCUUGAUCUCAUCAACGUCACCAUCAGCCUUGUUUGCGUCUGUCACAGCCACAGACACACGAUCGUGGCCUUUGUAUAUGUAUUUGAACAAGUAUUUGACAGCCUUGAUGCUCCCGCACGCCUCAACAUUGAUGUGACAGUUGAAGAGCCGGAGGAGGUAAGGGUUGUAAGGGACGACCCAUCUGUUGUCCAAUUCACAACCUCGAACCGUUUCCUUACGCCCAUCAUCACGACGCCUAUAAAUAGGAUAUGAAUCCUUUCCUUGAGACGUUGCAUUGCUAAAAGCUCUAGGAUAAUGGUUUUUGCAUGAAGCACGACCCUUAGUGCAUGGGCAUUUAGGAUUUAGCAACCCGCACGGUCCAUGCAUCAUAUGCUUGAUAACCAUCUUGUAUAGUUCAGGGUACUUCUUCUUGUCAGGGAUCUCAGCAGAGAUAAGGUGAUCAUACUGAUCAGGACAAGUUAGCUUGUACUUUCUCUGCAUGAUGAGUAGGAAAUGGACAUGAGGCAAACCUCGCUUCUGGAACUCCACGACAUAGACAUAAGCUCGGAUUUUUCCAAGAAUAUGAUGCUUAGUCAAUCUCUUCUUCAGUUCCUCUAGUUUUGCACGGAAUAUGCGAACAACAAGGUCCGGACGAUCCUGUGGUGACUGCAUAGGGAGAAGCUCUCUGGUUAUUUCAUCCCAAUUGGGGUUGCACGUCAUAGUGAGGAAUAUGUCUGGCUUCCCAAACUUCCGCACAAGGGCCAUAGCAUCCACAUACCGACGUCUCAUGUCACGAGGACCACCGAUAAAUGAUGUAGGCAGCACGGUUCGCUUUCCAAUUUUGUCUGCUCUGUUCUCGCCUUCAUGCAAGCUAUCUACCAAACCCUUGUAUAGAUCCGCCCUUAAUCUGUCUUGGUUUUUACGUAUGAAAUCCAAACGAGAGCUCUCAAUCUUGAUGUAGGUGUCAACCGCGAACUGUUGGAAAAGCCGCUUCCCAUGAAGUAUUGGAUUGAAUAUACUUGGACGAAUUUGGAAUCUGUAGCAGUAAUAGUCACGUACAGACACGCAUAGAUGGCUAGGUCGUUCUGCAACCGCAAGGUUUAUUAAUUAGUGUUGCUAAAAACAUAUUUAACAAAGGAUUAUAUAAGAAUCACAAAGAAAGAACUAACUUGUAUCAUCAUUGUUUGCAUCACUUCUCCUAUGUUGAUCGCGGUACGCGUCUACUUCGUCCAUGGAAACAUUGGACUUAGGAAUAUUGGCAUGCCAUCCAAGUUCACCUUUAGGGAAGAACAAUGGAUAUGAUAGUGCAUCAUAGCAUCCAUGAUAUGAACGGAUGCCGUGGCUUGACCUAUCCUUCCCAUGUAGCAUAACACUAUUACUGAAUUGACCUCGACGUUCACUCCCCUCAAUCCAAAUUGCAGCUACCUCCGAAGUAAUGGGUGAAUUAUAUAACUUCUGGUUCAGCGUUUGAUCAAGGUGAUGUGGUAGUCUUCAAUGUUAUCAACGUGCCCCAUACUCCUAAGGUGCUCAGAGUAUGGAUUUCCCUUAAGUAUUUCAACCAAUUGUUUAAUAACUGCCUUGUCUUUCUCAAAUUGUUGUUGACGACAUUUACGAUAUCUAUGCUCGAGGCUGGGAUCAUCAUCGUAGAAGUAGAGUUCAAGGUGUUUAUGUUCCGCCCCAACUUCCCUACCGAACGACCUUACGUUGUGGUACAUCAUGCCAUGUGCACGAAACGUAUAGAUACCACAAUCCAUGUUUGUAGUCAUACUGUCAAGACAACAGUACAGAGAAGUGAACGAGAAAUGGCCGUUAAAAAAUCGAAUGUUAUCACGAAAGUGCCUCGCAUCAGCAUCUGCAGACUCCCACAGCCUCCUAAGCUGGAGCGGUGUCUCGAAUGUGGCUAAAUUAAUCUGUUCAUUACGACAACAAAAUCCAGGUGGUUCAUACUGAAACUUCUUCGCUUUGCAGUAAUCGCAGUCAGCAACAGUGCUCAGCAAAUGUGUUUCUUCAGGUAUGUUACUAUACACCUUGUCGUACAAGUCAGGUACGUAAGGGUUGACAGUAAAGGCAUCUUGGGUUUCAUCAAUCUCAAUAUCCUCACCAGAUUCACCAUCUAAAUUUGUUUUGAAAGAACAAAGGAUAAGACAUACAACUUUAGAAACUUUUAAAUCAUAUAUCCUAUAUUAAAAACAUUACGUAAGUACCUUGCCCAGCGAAUAGGUAUCCUUCUUCGUCAUCAUCAUCUUCUUUAAAAAGUACAGUCUCAUCAGCAUCCUCUGUAAAGAGCACACCUUAAUCAUAUUAACCACUAAGAAUAAUUAGGGAACUAAUGAUGGAAUGAGCUUGUAAUUACCAUUGGUGGUAAUAGUCGAAGAUGUCAAGUGCUGCUUCCCAAUGUCUACUCCUUCGGUCAUUUUGUCACUAUUUGUGGCAGGGACUGUACACGGAUGUCUUUGUCGUCUAGGAGACUUUGUCAGUUUCUUUGUCUCAACAUCCUCAGUCACCGAUGGAGUAGGAACAAAUGGUGUUGGGAUCAAUUCAGGAAUAGCCAUGAGCUCGGAGCUAAAUAGAGACCCAGUAGGUGCUUGAGCAUCUGUUGAACUCCACACAAGCUCUGGGGUAAAAGUAGGGUUCUCAAUGGCGAUUGAGUCCUAACUUAGCAUAACUUGUUGUCUUAUUCUAUAGUUUUCCCUUGCUCUCUUUUGACAUGGUUUCAUAUUACGCAACGUCCUUUGUUCCUUAGUUUGAGUUGCACAUCGAGCUCUUUCUCGGAUUCUCUUACGUUCCUUUGGACCUAACACUUUUGAAUACUCAUGGUGUACAACAUUUUCUUUGUUGCGUGACGCACAACGUUUCUUCAAUUCAUUUUUUGUUUCAUCACUCAUCGCCGCGUAUCGUGCUCUUUCCUUUUCCCGUUUACAUUGCCUUGCAUCCGCACAUCCUACUAAACCAUUAUAGGUUUUAUUUUUUAAAACCUUAUUGAAAUGUCAAAUAAGGCAUCUUAUAUUAUUAGUAGAUAUACCUUCAACAGUGAUGUUGGACAAUUCUUUUAAUGGAGAACGAACAUCAUUAGUUUGGAGCAGAUCCAUCUACGUAUUUCAGGCAGCCACAAAACCUAUAUGAGAGGAUGAAUCACCUUAUCAUACUUCACCAAAGGAUAAGAUACGCUCAAUUUCUAAUCUAAUCAGAUAACAUUGAUUCUUAGAGAUAGGGAAAGUACUAACGAGCAAAUUGGUACGUUCAGUUAAAUGGUAGACAAUCAAUGAGAAUCAAAGUCAACAUAUAAGACUAACUCCAACACGGACCUCUAAAGGGUCCUAUACCCUAAAUUUAGAGGAUGAGGUCAUCCUCUACUCCCUCCGGCAGCGUCCUUUAAACGGUCUACUAAAUUUACAGGACAAAUUAAAAAUGUCUCUAAUAUAGGUAUUUGUGUAUAAAAGACAUGAUUUAGAGAAUGUUGUUGAAGAGGAAAGAAAUAUAGAGAAUGUAAUCUUUUAGGAUGUCUCCAACAAGGAAAUGCUUAGGAUGGUGGUACAUGUUGUGUAGUUGCGUUAUAAUUACUUCUUUCAUUGUAAGGAAUAUGGAUGUUUUUACAUCAACCCGAAAUGUACUCCACAUGCCAUGGAUAUUCGUUUAUGUACUACUAAGGAAAUCCUCCUCCAUGAGGAUUUUUUGUUCCUCCAGAAGGAACUUAAGUUUUCAGGAGUGCACUUAUUCAUGUAUCAAGACUAAAUUCUGUUUAUGUUACAAGUUUUCAGUUGUCCUUUCUUCACAUGCCAGCAUGUUAAAUCUGCUGAUUUUGAUUCAUUAAGAUAUUAGGAUGGAUGGAGUCACACAAGCUGUUGAAAAUCUUAAGAAAGAAUGGGGCCAAGCAGUUUCACAGCUUGACGAGAACAUUACUGCAAUUGAAUCAUGUGGAAAAACAGGGAAAGGGACAAAGGAAGCAAAUUAUCUUCCAAGGUUGAAUGGUUCUGCACAGGAUGCUCUGUAGUUGCUGAAGUCACUGCAGUUCCAGCUUGAUCUUCUAGCACAGCAGCUUCCCACUUUUGAUGAGGUGCAGUCUGGUCAAGCAACCUUGAAGUCAUGGGAUGAACAAUACAAGAAGCUUCGUAUUAGCCUGAGGAAUGCUAACUUAUAAGCAAAAGACAACAUUAGACAAGCUGCUGAAGAGGAGGUACGUGAUUAUGCCUGGACUUUGAUGAUAUUAAUCCAAGUGAUGAGUUGUCUGAGUGGUACAUGCUUCUAGGGCUUAUUUGGAUGGCUCCUGGAUGGAGCUGCCUGGCCCAGGAAUCCAUCCCAGGCGUCCGAUUUUGGUCGCAUGGGGCUAGGAUGAUUGCCUGGCCGGCGAGCUGCCUGGCAAGGUAGCAACCAAACAGGCCCCUAGAGUGUCACCAAUCACCAAUGCAAUGUGAAAGAUUAAGAAUUCAUGUUAAAUUUUAAGGACAUAUUCUUUAUAUGCAGUAUGUCUUCUCAGAGGUUUUUUAUGUACUCAUUUAAGUUCAAAAGCACCAUUGAAACUAAUGCUGCUUUAGAUUUUUGCAAUUUCCCUGGCAAAAUUAGCAAGAAAAUGACCUAUAGGCACCCUACCACGUUUUUAGAGCAUCGCAGGUGCCAUUAUAACUUGGCUAUCGGUUUCUAAUUGACUUUUCUCUAGAGGACACUUCUUCUAGGCGAUGGUUAAGAGUCUACCAUCCGUAGGCGUAAUCUCCAGUAAGUUGAUUUCAAUUAGGUCUCUUUCCCUUAAGACAAUAUAUAUAUAUAUAUAUAUAUAUAUAUAUAUAUGGGAUAUUUAAGGAGCUUUUAUAAUUUAAUCAGUUACAUGUGUAUCCCAUCCAUCUGGUUUGAUCAAAUUCAGGUUACCUGAAAUUUAAAAAGCAGAUAAUGUGGGCUGUCAUUUGUGAAUUCUAGAACAUAAAAAACGGAUCAAGCCUCCUAUUACAUGAUAUUGUGUUAAACAUAAAACACUGAUGCUCUUUCUUUCACAACAAGCUGGCCAAGUUUAUGGAGUUCCUCUUUAUGGAUCUCUACUGAUCAAGCCUGGAGUUUACCCAGAGCAAAGACCAUGUAAUGAGGACACCCGCAGAAAAUGGAUUGAGGCCCUUGCUCAGCCAAACAAGCGACUGUGUUCAUUGUCUGAGCACGUUCCUCAUGGUUACCGUAGGAAAUCACUUUUUGAAGGUCUAAUUCGAUAUAAUGUUCCGUUGCUAAGAGCAACAUGGUUUAUUAAAGUCACAUACCUAAACCAGCUACAGACCCGACAGACACCUAACAGUAUUUCAGUAGCGGGUUCUGAUAACCAACGCUCUCAGUGGACAAAGGAUGUUGUUGAAUAUUUACAACAUAUGUUGGACGAAUUUUGUUCUAAAGAGGGUGCAUUCGUGCAUCCAUCCUUUAGAGAGCAGUCAUCACCAGGACCUACUGCUGGAACCAAUCAGAUAAAAAUGAAAACUGAAGCAUCUCCAGCUGUUGGAGACAUUGAAGAACACUUGGUGCACUUCAAAUGGUGGUAUAUGGUUCGUCUCAUCCAAUGGGAUCUCACAGAAGAAUUGCUUGUUCCCUCAGUACUUAUCGAAUGACUAUCUAACCAACUCCAGGUACUUCUGUCGAGAAUUCAAUCGACGUGAAAGUUUAUGUUUCAGUUCCUAUUCAUCUAAGGAAUACCCACUUUUCUAGGAAUAUGUUUUAGUUUAACUUCAAUCUAUAGAUUCUUUUGUCUAAAAGCAUGCUGCUACAAUGGACCCUAAACAGGUAAGAAAACACAUGAAGGCAGUCCAUUAGUCGUAGAACAAAAGAAUUUACUGUUUGGUAACUUCUGUUUACUGUGGGUUCUUUUUUUGCUUCUAGGACAGCAUCCAUGUGAUUGAUCCUUUUUGAAACUGAAUUUAAUUAUAUUACAGCCUAAAUGCCUAAUAGCAUGUUGCUACAGUGGAUACUAAACAAAUUCUAAGGAAUACUCACUUUUCUAGGAAUAUGUUUCAGUUUACCUUCAAUCUGUAAGAUUAAAGCCUAAAAGCAUGCUGCUACAAUGGAUCCUAAUUAGCUAAGAAACAAAUGAAGACAUACCAUUAGUCGUAGAACAAAAGAAAACAUCAUAAAAUUUAGGGUAUGAAAUCCACACAAACAAGUGGUACGGGCAUGUUUUUCCCAAAUAUAUUUUGGGUACUUCAAAUGACAUUGAUCUUGGUAAAGCUGACAAUAUUCGUAUCUUGAAAUUACAUUGCUUACUUAGCAUGAUGUAUAAAUUUUAGUGCACAAUUUAGGUACUUGAAUUUUCAGAGAUGCUCUGAAUUUAAUUACUCAAAUUUUCUAAUUGAGACACUGAUGGGUUAGCGUUGCAGGGGAGUCAAUUUAAUUUACCAAAAUUGCAUGUUCAAAGGGUUCCCUAUUUUAGUAACAUCUAGAGUCAAUUUUGAUUUACCAAAACUGCAUGCUCAGUGGUUUUUUGUAACUGGAAUUUACAUUAUUUUACAGAAUUCCAUAAUUCUUUAGUGCUUAUUUGUGUUUUAUUUUCAGGUUGCAAAGUAGACAUCCCCUAUUUCUAUAGUUCAUGCUUCAUGGAUAUGGUUCAAUAAAUUGAGGACCUGCGCAAACAACACUCAAUAACAAUAUUGUUCUUCUAUGCUCAUUAUUUGUUCUCAUAUCCUCCUUUUCUUGUUUUCUGCCCUUUUGACACCACUAUACUCUGGUUUGACAUGUGGAAGCGUGGAUCAUGCAAUUCUUGUCAUGUGCUGCAGAUGAUACUUUAAUGUCGUGUCAUGUUGUUGCUGUUAUCAAGAUUCAUGAACAUGGCAUUAUCUGUCAUUUGAAAUUAUAUGUUAUCUGAAAUUUCUUUCUCCCCUUGUGCUUAUGAUAUAUGUCUCGUGUGUGGAAUUUGGAUAUGGAUUAUGGAAGUAUCAUUAACAAUGUAAUUAUAGAACGACUUUUGUGCUUAUGAAAUAUGACUCGUGGGUGGAAUUUGGAUAUGGAUUAUGGGAGUACAAUUAACAAUGUAAUUAUAGAACGGUUUUUCUUACCAAUAUAUUGUUGGUGGUAUUGAGCACUUCAUGAAUUUUGUACUGUGAAUAUUAUGUAUUUUCAAGGACCUUAAGACGAACAACCAUGAUAACUAUGAAAUUAAUUUUGAAGACAUUGAGUACCUUUUUAUGGCUUUAGCUUUAGAGCAUUAUAUCAUUAUUGUUUGUGUGUUCGCGUAUUUUAACACACAAUAAUGCUCAAUUUUUAUGAUAAAUAUAACCAGAAAGUGGUGCUUAUCAAGAUGUGGGCUAUGAUGUUUGAAUACAUAAAUGCUAAUGGUUGGCUAAACCAUGGUGCAGAGGUUAUGCCUUUUCUCUUCUGCAUGUUGUCAACAUUGCCAAGUUGGAAAAUAAAUGCUUAGUGACUAAUAUAUUGUCAAAGCUGAAGUCAAGUAAAACAGGGUUGAGGAGGGGCCAAGGCAGCAACCAAGAAUGUGAAGAGGAAAAUGCCUUUCGUACUACUAUCUAGAACUGGUUUAUGGGGAUGACAGACUGACUGAACAACAGAGCAAGAAGAAAGAAAAAUAAAACGAAGAGGAAAACAAUAAAACAAUAUAUUUUUCCAGUAAGAUUAUGUUCUAUGCCUACCAAGAAUGUUAUCUUACUCUGCAUCUUCUUGCCAGUCCUUUUGUGAUUAUGUUCAAUUGAUGCUGCUAAGAAUAUUAGUGCAGUGGAGUGUGGUGUAUACUUGAAUCUCUUAAUUGAUGAUUGCAGGAAGUUGUUUUCCAUUUAAAUGCUCGGAUAGGUUGAGCAAUCUCAUAUGUAGUAGAUGUCCAUAAAUUCAACAUGUAAAAGCCAGAAUGCAUAUGUUAUUAUCUCUAUUUAUUUGGCGAUGUAACAUUAAUAUUAUGCAUUUUUUCACGUUAAUUGUACUAAUGUUGUCUCAUGAUAUGUUCAUAUGAGGUCAGUUGUGUGUUAAUAACCAUGCUACAGCCUACAACUCUUGUAAUGGGUGAUUUUUCAUAUUUUUAACUCGUUUGUGUAUUGUUUACUGUCGUUUAAGUGUUAUCUUGCUUCUGCCUCCCCCCUCAAAGAGAUGCUGGCGAGUUUCGUAAAAAAAGGGAAGAGGUGAUAUUUGCUGGUUUAUUUCUUGAAAGGUUUCAUUUUUUCCAAGAGUGUCGUAUGAUCUGAGUGCCUUCAGUUAAAGAAGGAAACACCCGUCUCAAGUGUUGCUUUGUUGCAAGGUUCAAGUUUUUGUUCCAAAACUGCUGCAUCGUCUGGAGUGUUUUGAGAUGAAGAAUGAAGUGAUCCUCUUCGGUGAGCAAUUUUUUUGUUCUUUCAAUUUGCAAAAAUGCUAUCAUCAUUAUGUCGUUCCUACCGCAUUUUCCACAUAUCUUUCGUAAGCGGAUAUUGUUUUCAAUAGUUUUGUGAUUACCAGGCCAUGGAUUACAGUGGACUAAAUGCAAAUGACAUAGGCUUGUAUAGAUCAAGAACCAUGCUAACAGUGAUGAAGAAAGAUGAAUGAAGAAUAAUGAUGGUGAACUUAUUUAUUAGCUCAUAGAAAGGUCACAUAGUUUUAUACAAAGUGAUCACCAUUGAGACCGAACACAUGACUAAUACAAAAUAGAGAACAAAUCAUUACUACUAAGUUUCAUCUAAAUCAUAACUAACAAAGUAUCUACUAUAACAAGCUAGAAUACGUCUCAAUCAGAUAUCACAGUUGUGAGAUGUGCCCGUCUGUUCUCAAGAAAUUUGUCGACGAUACGACGCCUUGGAUUUUGAAUCAACGAACGUCGAAUAGCUGCAAUUUAGAACAUAAUUUGCAAGAAGAUGAUUAUUUUAAAUUAUUAUCAUUUUAAUUUUAGCUAUAGUUUAUAAAUCUAUUAUAAGAACCACUCACUCUUCAAGUGGUAUGUAGUGUGAUGAUCUGGGUUGAAAUGAACGGUGCUGUAAUCCGAGGUUUCCAAGCAUCCUAUUGUUAGGAUAAUAAAUAAGCAUAAGAAUUGAGUUCAAGUUGAAAGAAUUUUGGUACAAGAGAAAUUACUGUGUUUAUUGUUACGACGCAGCAUAGUUCCAAUAACUAUGUUAUUGUCAACUCUAGCUAACGACCAUCGUAGAGCAUUUCUUUGCAAGAGGUCAGUCCAUACCCCCACGACGAUUAGAUCCCACCUAUAAAAACAUUAAUGUUGUCUGAAUAAGACCUAACAAUUACUUAAUACUUUCAAAAAAUAAUGUAGCUAUAAAUUAGUGUCACCUGGAAUCCAUUAGUACAGCCUCUCUAUACGGCCUUCCACCGAUAUGCUUUAAUGGCUCUAAAUGAAGAACUAUGCCAAUAAUGUCUGAGCAAUUCACAUGUGAUUAGUUAUCUUUGAAUAACUUAUACAUCAGCCAUUAGUACUAUAUAUAUAUAAACCAUAUGGAAGGAAUGAUCAUUACCUACGAACGACUUAUGCGGUUGUUGAUACACCUUAUGGAAUGGCAUAAGAUACUUUGGAAAUGGAGGAAAUUGGAUUGGCUUAAUGAAUGGCUCCACAAUAGUAUGUGUUAUCAGUCCGAUCUCUAGCCCAUGUCCAAUAUUCCGAAAUUGAAUUCCCUCCCUAUUUAGACAGAAUCCCACUCUAUACAAUGUAUAUGUGCAUCCUUGUGUGAGUAAGGCAUCGAAACGUGGAACAUUAUUGCGACUUGAAAUUGCUUCCAUUUUGGAUCCCUAGAUAUAUGGGAAUACAGGUCGUAUGAGUCAAAGAAUUUUAUUAUAACAACAUGACUAUAUUGACUCUAUUUUAAAGCUUGAAGUAACUCACUGUGAUAUCCUAUAGGAUGAAGUGUUGACUAUCAUGACGCCUAGGGAACUUAACAACUACCCUCGCAAAGAUACUCUUUACGUGUGGUAAGUUAUUGAAAUCUUGAAUAUCAUCAAAUAACACGAAACUAUAUAAAACACAAACUGUAGCUUAAGUUCUUCAUUCAUAUAUAAAUGUGACAAGUGAACUAUAUACUUACGGAGGAAAGGGACGAAUGUCUGGAACUGUCCUAUUUUGGUUUAUUCUACCUGAUCCCGCCAUUGAUCUUGUAGGACCAAUCAUGGCAUUAUUGCAAAGAAAACAUCAUUAUCAUUAAAAGGAUUAAAUGACAAAGUCCCUCUGUCAAACAAAUAGAUUUCUUUUACAUCAUAAUGAAAUUACAAGAAACUAUUUUGUAGAAAGUAUAGACUCUAUCUACGUCUUUGUUCUUUAAGAAACCUAGCAUCAAAUUGAAGAUUUUUCAUAUAACAAUAUUUAAAGUUAAAUCAUAAAAUGUAACAUAAUAUGUCUCAUAUGUUUAUCUACAUCUUGUGACAGUUGCUGGUGAAUAAUAGGACAGCAAGCGCCAGUGAAAUAGUUGCUUCAGCACUUCAUGACAAUUGCAAAGCUGUUCUUGUUGGCGAAAGGACUUUUGGCAAGGGCUUAAUCCAAUCUGUAUUUGAACUUCAUGAUGGUUCUGGUAUUGUCGUCACAGUUGGCAAAUACAUGACACCAAACCACAAGGAUAUCAAUGGGAAUGGAAUAGAACCGGAUUACAAUCGUCUUCCUG